CCAGAGAACUUAGCAGAGAUGCUUUGGUGCCUUCGGGAACUCUGAGACAGGUGCUGCAUGGCUGUCGUCAGCUCGUGUUGUGAAAUGUUGGGUUAAGUCCCGCAACGAGCGCAACCCUCAUCCUUUGUUGCCAGCGGUUCGGCCGGGAACUCAAAGGAGACUGCCGGUGAUAAACCGGAGGAAGGUGGGGAUGACGUCAAGUCAUCAUGGCCCUUACGGCCAGGGCUACACACGUGCUACAAUGGCGCAUACAAAGAGAAGCGACCUCGCGAGAGCAAGCGGACCUCAUAAAGUGCGUCGUAGUCCGGAUUGGAGUCUGCAACUCGACUCCAUGAAGUCGGAAUCGCUAGUAAUCGUAGAUCAGAAUGCUACGGUGAAUACGUUCCCGGGCCUUGUACACACCGCCCGUCACACCAUGGGAGUGGGUUGCAAAAGAAGUAGGUAGCUUAACCUUCGGGAGGGCGCUUACCACUUUGUGAUUCAUGACUGGGGUGAAGUCGUAACAAGGUAAGCGUAGCGAG
rnacentral:rRNA from 1 species